UACAGAGGUGGCAAGCGUUGUUCGGAAUUACUGGGCGUAAAGGGCGCGUAGGCGGUUCGAUAAGUCCUGUGUGAAAUCCCUCGGCUCAACUGAGGAACUGCACGGGAGACUGUCGGGCUUGAGUUCGGGAGAGGGAAGCGGAAUUCCGGGUGUAGCGGUGAAAUGCGUAGAUAUCUGGAGGAACACCGGUGGCGAAGGCGGCAUCCUGGACCGGCAUUGACGCUGAGGCGCGAAAGCUAGGGGAGCAAACGGG
rnacentral:rRNA from 1 species